rnacentral:rRNA from 1 species
UACAGAGGGUGCAAGCGUUUGUUCGGAAUUAUUGGGCGUAAAGGGCGCGUAGGCGGCCACCGCAAGUCGACUGUGAAAUCUCCGAGCUUAACUCGGAAAGGUCAGCCGAUACUGCGGGGCUAGAGUGCAGAAGGGGCAACUGGAAUUCUCGGUGUAGCGGUGAAAAUGCGUAGAUAUCGAGAGGAACACCUGCGGCGAAGGCGGCGACCUGGGGCCAAUACUGACACUGAGGUGCGAAAGCGUGGGGAGCAAACAGG